AGUGAACGCUGGCGGUAGGCCUAACACAUGCAAGUCGAACGGCAGCACAGUAAGAGCUUGCUCUUACGGGUGGCGAGUGGCGGACGGGUGAGGAAUACAUCGGAAUCUACUUUUUCGUGGGGGAUAACGUAGGGAAACUUACGCUAAUACCGCAUAUGACCUACGGGUGAAAGCAGGGGAUCUUCGGACCUUGCGCGAUUGAAUGAGCCGAUGUCGGAUUAGCUAGUUGGCGGGGUAAAGGCCCACCAAGGCGACGAUCCGUAGCUGGGCUGAGAGGAUGUGCACCCACCAGGGAACUAUAAAAGGGUCCAGCAUCGUACGGACGGCAGCGUGGGGGAUAAUUGGCAAUUGGCGCAAGCCUGAUCCAGCCAUACCGCGUGGGUGAAGAAGGCAUUCGGGUUGUAAAGCCCUUUUGUUGGGAAAGAAAAGCAGCAGGUUAAUACCCCGCUGUUCUGACGGUACCCAAAGAAUAAGCACCGGCUAACUUCGUG
rnacentral:rRNA from 1 species